GCGGGCAUAGUUUAGUGGUAAAACCUCAGCCUUCCAAGCUGAUGAUGCGAGUUCGAUUCUCGCUGCCCGCU
rnacentral:tRNA from 4 species